rnacentral:lncRNA from 1 species
GGAAAAAACACACACAUGUUCAUAGUAUGGCUGAGAGCAAGAAACCACAGGGACAGAGGGUUCAGGAGCAGAAAAAGCAUUGACCUGAGCACUGCAGAGGGGCAGAACCAGGAGCAGUGCCCUGGCUGACAGCAGCUGCUGCUCAAUCACAGCUGCGUUGCCCCCCACACUGCUGCCCUCCUCCACCUGUGCUGUAAGUAUCCUCACACCCCACACACGGCACUCUGCUAUGCAGUUAUUUUAACCCAGCACUGCUGUGAGCUAAUUGGCCGUGCUGCAAGGAGAAAUAGUUGGGAUUAAUUAGUGUUUCGCCACUGAAGAAAGCACCGUGUUGUUGCAUUUGCCUCAGUUGGAGCCCUCUGACCACAGUUCCACGGACACCUUCAUGUAUGAAUACACAAAGCUCUGCUUUGGGUUGGGACAGACUGGGACUGUGGGAGGUGUAACCACCUCCUCGCACACAACUUCAAUGCUUUAUGAUGGAUGCAAGGCACUGUACCCAAUUUUCAGCAGCCCCAUCAGUGAAGUCCUCUUAUGACCUCUUAUUCUUCCCUCCCAGGGAAGCACAUCAUCCUCCAGGAACACAGGACAGGGAAAAAGGGCAGGAGCUGCAAGAACAGCUGCCUCACCAGGCAACACAACUCCGGGCAUUGCAGUCCUUGUGAACCUUCCCUCCUCUCCUCUUUUCUUUCUCUACAAGGAACCACAGACAUAUAUGAAAACAACACCUUCCAUCAAACUGUAUUAACCAAGCAUCCCCAUAGGCAGAGCCCAGAUGCAGGUGGGGCAGCCCAGCUGCUCAUUUCUCAUGGCAAUACCAACGUUGUCUCUGUUCCUACAAAGUAAAUCACGGUGUCAUCUUCAAACAUCAGCUUACUAAAACUCAACUCUGUUCUAAUCCCAUUAGGUUUUGGUAUUGACUUUAAAGAAGAAAGGGGUAAGCUCUUACCCACUGCCACUCUGAGCAUACGGGUUAAUUACCAGCAGCUCCUCUUUCCAUUUAUUUUCACUUUUACUAUGCAUACAAAAAUCAAUUCUCUCCAUAAAUUAUAACCAUGCUCCCUCUGAAUUCCCUGACCUGGGUGUGGACAGCAGCAAAGGAGGUUUAAACAAGAUGAUCAUUUGUGCAAGUGCUGCAAGGAGCCGGAAUAGCUACACCAUCAUGGAAACGUGUUGGAAUGAAUUCAUUGCCAUCUGUCUUUAUUUUGCUAACCAGCUCAAUCAGACACCACAAAUAUACUCAAACAUGAGAAAAAUAUUUAAAUUAUUUGUGCUAGGUCCUUUUUUCAACAUGGAACUCUCCCUGUCAUUGGUUUUUAUCAGUACUGAAUGCCCAUCAGUAGCAGUGAAUUCACUCUUACACUGCCUUUAGAACACAUCUGUCCAACUUCAAAUCCACUUUGUAUUAACAAUGUAAAAAAUAUAUAUAUGUGUGAAAAAGUUAUGAUAUUACAAAUACUAUACAGCUGUGCAAGGAAGUGCAACAAAAAUUACAAAUAGCUGGUGGUUCUGCCACAAUGAUU